rnacentral:rRNA from 1 species
CUACCAUGGCGUUUACGGGUAACGGAGGAUUAGGGCUCGAUUCCGGAGAGGGAGCCUGAGAAACGGCUACCACAUCUAAGGAAGGCAGCAGGCGCGUAAAUUACCCAAUCCUGACUCAGGGAGGUAGUGACAAGAAAUAACGGACCGUUAGCCUUCGGGCGGCGGGACUGCAAUGAGCCGAAUUUACACCCCUUAGCGAGGACCAAUUGGAGGGCAAGUCUGGUGCCAGCAGCCGCGGUAAUUCCAGCUCCAAUAGCGUAUAUUAAAGUUGUUGCAGUUAAAAAGCUCGUAGUUGGAUUUCUGCCAGGGUGCCAAUGUCCGCCGAAGUGCGUGCGCAGCGGCGCCCUCGCAUCCUUCUGUUAACGCCUCUCGGCAUUCACUUGCCGGUGGUGGGCUCAGAUAAUUUACCUUGAGAAAAUUAGAGUGUUUCAGGCAGGCUAGGCCGGAAUACAUUAGCAUGGAAUAAUGGAAUAGGACUACGGUCUCGUUGUUGGUUUGAGGGACUGGAGUAAUGAUUAAUAGGGAUAGUUGGGGGCAUUAGUAUUUAAUUGUCAGAGGUGAAAUUCUCAGAUUUGUUAAAGACUAACUUAUGCGAAAGCAUUUGCCAAGGAUGUUUUCAUUAAUCAA